ACAACCACGUGAGCGAGAGAGAAACCACAGGUGGAGGCUUCCAUCCUCACCCAUGGGCCAUGCUGCCGCUCGGUGUCAAACGGGGCUGGGUGAUUCGCCGGAGGCCACUGAAGCUGUUCUUGGCAGAGGAUGGCGGCCGGGAACGCUCCUAUGCGAUAGCAACCGUGCCCCGCGACAACUGCAUGCGCGCGGCCGCACCAGCACAAUGGAUGUCACAAAGGACCAGUCGGAUGCGGGACCUCUCCGCGGCCGGGACUCUCGUGAUUGCGCGGGCUCUGAAACUGGAGAAGAACAGGUGAUUCAGGAGGAGCCACGUAUCGAGGAGUAUGAUCUGAUCUAGGUGGCGUUUCUCAGUUGACAUUGGCG
rnacentral:misc_RNA from 1 species